rnacentral:piRNA from 1 species
UAAAAAUCUCAUGGUGGCCAGGA